UGAGGGAUAUUGCGCAAUGGGGGAAACCCUGACGCAGCGACGCCGCGUGGGCGAAGACGGUCUUCGGAUCGUAAAGCCCUUUUCUGCGUGACGAGGAAGGACGGUAGCGCAGGAAGAAGUCUCGGCUAACUACGUGCCAGCAGCCGCGGUAAAACGUAGGAGGCAAGCGUUAUCCGGAGUUACUGGGCGUAAAGCGCGCGCAGGCGGUGCGUUAAGUGUAUUGUCAAAGACACAGGCUCAACCUGGGGCAGGCAACACAGACUGACGGACUGGAGGCAGCUAGAGGGACGUGGAAUUCGGGGUGUAGCGGUGAAAUGUGUAGAGAUCCCGAGGAACACCAGCGGUGAAGACGGCGUCCUGGGGCUGACCUGACGCUGAGGCGCGAAGGCGUGGGGAGCGAAC
rnacentral:rRNA from 1 species